rnacentral:rRNA from 1 species
AUUGAACGCUGGCGGCAGGCCUAACACAUGCAAGUCGAGCGGAUGAAGGGAGCUUGCUCCUGGAUUCAGCGGCGGACGGGUGAGUAAUGCCUAGGAAUCUGCCUGGUAGUGGGGGAUAACGUCCGGAAACGGGCGCUAAUACCGCAUACGUCCUGAGGGAGAAAGUGGGGGAUCUUCGGACCUCACGCUAUCAGAUGAGCCUAGGUCGGAUUAGCUAGUUGUUGGGGUAAAGGCCUACCAAGGCGACGAUCCGUAACUGGUCUGAGAGGAUGAUCAGUCACACUGGAACUGAGACACGGUCCAGACUCCUACGGGAGGCAGCAGUGGGGAAUAUUGGACAAAGGGCGAAAGCCUGAUCCAGCCAUGCCGCGUGUGUGAAGAAGGUCUUCGGAUUGUAAAGCACUUUAAGUUGGGAGGAAGGGCAGUAAGUUAAUACCUUGCUGUUUUGACGUUACCAACAGAAUAAGCACCGGCUAACUUCGUG